UGAGCAGGUAGCAAUUACAGUGCUUCAUUUUGUGGGAGUACUGCCAUUAAUCCUGCUGAAAGAAAAGCCAUGUUGAUGUUUCUGAUUUUUGCAUUUAUUGGAGUAAAAAUCAUGACACUUGCAUGGGGACAGUU
ensembl:snoRNA Snora69 small nucleolar RNA, H/ACA box 69